UACGGGGGGGGUAAGCGUUGUUCGGAAUUACUGGGCGUAAAGGGCUCGUAGGCGGCCAACUAAGUCAUACGUGAAAUCCCUCAGCUUAACUGGGGAACUGCGUCUGAUACUGGAUGGCUUGGAUUCGGGAGAGGAAUGCGGAAUUCCAGGUGUAGCGGUGAAAUGCGUAGAUAUUCGGAGGAACACCAGUGGCGAAGGCGGCUCACUGGUCCAUUACUGACGCUGAGGUGCGAAAGCGUGGGGAGCAACAGGG
rnacentral:rRNA from 1 species